CGCACAAACCUCAUCCAAAUCCCCUUUCUCUGUCCCCAUUCUCCGUCCGCGAUACAUCGUCGUCGCUUUCCUUCGACAAAUGCGGAGAGAAGACAAAGAUUUGGAAUUCGACCGCUGGCCAAUUCGAAGCCCCAUUUGUUCUGUACUGUAUGCCCUUAGUUCUGGAAGAUGAAGGACUGAAGUAGGUGCAAUGGCAUUGAUAGCACAUCACACACAGGGUUCUUUUUCAACACAUUCACUGAGUUGUAGUGCAUCAAGUAGAAGGGCAAAUGUGAGGUCCUCGAUUGUUCAGUUGCUGUAUAAAACACGUGUUUGUGCCCCUGAAGCAUCAUUUUCAUUUUAGAUCUAAACAUGCGGCAUCACAUUCUUUUAUCCUGCUAUAAAUGCUCCUCAUCUUCAUGGCUUCACCUAAACAUCACUUGAAGUCCUCACAAGAACAGCCAUGUCUUCUCUUGGAGCCAGCUAUGCUUACAUCCAUGAACUGAGGAAACGCUGCAAGGAAAUGGAGAGGAAGAAGACAGAUGGUGGUGUGGCCACAGAGGAGAAGAGCUCCAAGGGAAGAGUUCAUCCUAGUGACACCCCUUCACCAGUGUGUCGUGAAGAACGAGGUGAAGGUAAUUGUUGGAGAAGCUCGGUCACCAAAUAAAUCCCCAAAAAAGAAAGAUGAUGAAUUAUUGGGUGUUGAUGGAGGGCUUGUUUUACAUUUAGACAAUGCUAUGUCCACAUAUAUAUAUUUUGCCUUCCAAUGUUCCAAGUCUCUUUAGUAGGGAAAUGUGGGAGGAAUAAUCAUCCAAUUGUUUUCUUUUUCUCUACCUAGAUACGACAGAAAUAGAUGUUGCUUUCAUUAUUAACAUAGUCAGGUUCAUAGCCAUAUGGAAGUUUUUUUAA